ACAGUCCACACUCUCCCAGGGUAAACACAGUUCACACUCUCCCAGGGUAAACACAGG
rnacentral:lncRNA from 1 species